UCAUUCCCUCUACAGGAGCAGAACGUCACCCUGAACGGCAGCCCUACAGGUGAACACGCCUCCUCUUUUGCGGUCGGAACUCAGCGAGGGCAGGAGAAAAAUCUACUUACCACCUUGACCGUGGGUAUAUCCAUGGGAAAGGAAAUAAGCGCUUUAGGAAACACUGAGCAUGGUCAGCUUUGUAAACCAAGAACGUGUUUUCCAUAUUUCUACAGUAACAAGAAGAAGAGAAAUUGCAUAGAAGAAUUGUAAAUGCUGUUAUUAGGAUUCCUUGAAACCGAGAUAAAAUUCUGUCACAUGAAAUCACUAUAAAGCUUUUAUCUGAGGUUUGAAAUAGCAUUUCCCCACCAUGAUUACAAUAUAGAAAAAAGCUUGCAAAAAUGUUAAUCCAUAUUGAGAAAUAAAUGUAUUACAGAUGAGUUGAUGGGUAAUGAUUCCUAUAAACUCAAAAACAAAUAGUUUGCAACUUUAAUAACUCUUCACUUAGAAUCUUCUGCUACGAUGAUGCAAUGAGGUUUCUGGGCUUCUACAGCCACUAUUUUUUACAUUUAAGAAAACAUAGUGAGGAUCAAUCUUAUGAUAAAGAAAACUGACAUCCUCUCUGGUGAUUAAGGAUAAAACAUGAUAUUACAAUUUGUAUUUUUUCCUAAAAUAAUACAUUUCUUUUUGCUAUUUGACUCUUCUGGGUUAAGAGAUACAGAUUAGUAAUCUACAUUUUCCUUUUUAUUAAACUUGACAAAGCAUUCUAUGAAACUGAGUAUGAUGAAGAUUAUGGCAAAAACAAAAACAAAACAGAAUAUUGAACAUAAAUUUCACAUAAUUGAAACAUUAUCCCCUUCUUUUGGUGAUCAAAAUUUUCAUAUAUGUCAAGUCCUCAAAUACAACUGAAAAUGGCCUUGAUAUCAUCUCUCUUAGUUUUUUAUCCAAAACAGUGGCUAAAGAGGAAAUCCGAUCAAUGCUGCAAUAGCGAGGAUCAGGCUGAAACAACCAGACCAACCAGACCAUGAUCCAGCUCUUUUUGGUUAACUAUAGACAGCUGUGACUGACAAUUCUGAUUUUUAGUACAUAAAUGCCACAUUUCUCUUCUCAGUCUGCAAAUUUCUGGAUUGAGAACUCCAGUGAGUCAUUGAAACAAUACUAGUUUUGAUUUAUCAUAUUGGUUUUACUAAGGUAAGACAAAUGUCUGAGAUACAUUCUUAAAUUCUCUUUGAACUUUUAUGUACUGGCAAAUCUUUCCAUCGUUGUCCCUAACUUAAGCUUCCUAAAUGUCAGCUGACCCUCAUAACUAUUACCACAUUUUAUAAAUGAAAAACUAGGCUUGGAUGGGUCAAGUGGACACAAGGUAGCAGCCGAAAGCUACACUCCAGGACUUGAACCUAGGUCUACGGAUUAUUACAAACGUGGGUCUCCACCUUUAUCAACCUAUCAGAGAUUUCUUGAUCAAGGCAAAGCUUGCAAACAAACAUACUGAGGCUUCCGGACCUAAAAAUGUUUUUGUUUUUCUCCAUCAGCUGUCAAAAUUUACUUAGGGAAAGAUAAAACCCACAGUUUUUAGUUACACUGUGUUGUCUUUUCUUAGAAAACCACUUCAACUCCCCCCCUCCCCCCAGUAGAUAACAAGGGCAAAUCAGCUCUUAUUCACUAUCCCUUUUAUCCUUGGACAUUGUCUUACUGGAUGCUGGGAAUUCUCAUGAUAAAUUACACCAUGCUCCUCUUGCUGUUGCUCGUCAUGCUCCUGCCUCACUUGUAUCUGCUGUUUCUUAAAUUCCUAAACUCAUGACAGUAGGUCUUUCGUAUGCCCUUUUACCUCUGCCCAGUGCUCAAGGCAUCCAUAUUACUGCAUCAUUGGCACCUUUUAUUUUUACAAGUCUCAGCUUAAACAGUAUUUCUCAGAGACCCCUACCCCAACCUAAAGCCCCAUAGCUUUACUCUCUCUCAAAAUUAUGUCACCUAGGCCUAGUUUUUCUAUGUUCAUAUCAGGAGUAUCUGAAACUAUCCUUACUUACUGUUUAUUCCUCCUGUCCCCACCCUCACCUCUGCUCACUGCCGUCUGCUCAGAUUUUGGAACAGUGUCCAGCAUAUAGUAGGCUCUCUUGCAAAUACAUUUAAAGGAUAAAGAAUUGAAUCAGUCUCUUUAACAUCCAGAUAUAACAUAUCCCACGACAAUAUUUUUAAGAAUAACAUUUGCCAUUAUGAGCCCCAUCUCUGGGAAUUUGAUGGUAGCAGAAUUUGUGUCACUGCGAUGUACAACAACCUCACUGUCUAUUUUCUGUAAUGUAUUUUUAAAAUAUCAAUACUGAUUAUGAGAUAAAUUUAAUACUUUAGUCUUCUCAUCCAACUUUUAAAUACAAUAUUUCUUAAAUCAUUUCUGGUCUUCUGCUAACUUGCUCAAUUACAAGCAUGUAACUAGCCACUCAGAAGCCAGACCAUUUUAGUAUUCUCCAUGUAUAUGAUCAAUUUUCUAAGAAAACCCCAUUCCCUUAUUGUAGUGUUAAGUUUGAUUCCUCUACUCCGAAUUUUAUAAAUUAAACAUUCCGUAUCAGAUGUAUUCUACAGCAUUUUAUUGAGAAAAGUAAUAUAUCGUGCUUUGAGUAAAAGUAAAAAUUACUUCCAGGUCUUGUGAAUUUAGACAAAUAGUGGUACUGAAUAAAGUUAUUACCCAUCACCAGAUUUUUUUAGAUAAUAAGAUGGAGAUAUCCAGAAAUAAAGAACUUAAUCUAAGUUUCCCAAGAAUUAGCUCCUAGUAAUUUUAGUAGAAUAUGGAUUUCAGAGAGAUGUUGUCCUAUAAAAUCUGUAUGAUUCGUCCCUCUGAGUUCAGAAGGGUAUUAAUAAAUGUCCCCAGGCAGCAACAUCCACUUGGCUUAGGGUGUUGAGGAAGACUACUAGCCAGGGAAUGACAAAUAGUGCAGCGGUGCUCAGAAUCCUCUGCUAGAAGAAAGCUCUGCCUCAUGGACAGAGUGCACAGGAAGCAUCCAGACACACUCUAGGAGUGCAACCUAGCACCGGAUUAAAUAACCUUGCUGGGGUCUGCCAUUCAGGGGCCUGGAUCUUUGGCCUUCCCAUGCAAUUAAGCUCAAUGUUCCAUUUUACUUUGUCAAGGGACCUCUGGGGGAUUUUCUUCACCUUUUGUGUGAAUAUUUCAAAUGAAUGCUACAUCAUCUAGUUCUGGCUCUCCCUUUAGCAGACUAGUAAGAAACCAGAGUUUUAUCUAGGUCAGAGUAAUUCAUCUGACCCACAGCAGAAAGUUCCUGAAGAGCUCAGCAUCUUACUCAAAUGCUGAUUUAAAAAGAGAUGGAGUUGGGAACACACUUUUUUUUUUUUUUCUUUCCUCUUUGUCCUCGAUCAAGCCUUCAAGGCAACGUGAAGUUGUAGCUUGCAAAGGAUUAUAUUCCAGAUCAUUCUUCAUUUUGGGUGCAAAUAAGGAGGAUCAAGACCUGAUUUCCUGUCUGUCAGUUUUGAGGAAGUGUAGAGUACCACUCUAACUCCACAGCCAGUCCCAAAAGAUCAGGUGGUAUUUGCUUUUUGUGAGCAGUGUGCUUCCUGCUGAGCCACUGAGGAGAAGCUUUGUUCAGUGAGAGAGCACCGUACUUAGCAUGGCAACAGAGUCCUUUAAAAUUCAGACCCUCGUCCAAUUAUAAAACAUGGACAACCACUUCCCAUUUCUGAAUCCUGGUUCUCUUAUCUUGACGUGUUCACUAGGAUUCUUCAGAGGAUUAAAUGAGAGAAGGAAGAGGAAAGUAUGGGAGCUCAGAGUGUCACAGGGACGCUCGUUAUUUGGCUUUUCUGUUGGCUUUGCUAGCUGAGCACAGGGUCCCUACUAGCUGUUGGGGGAGCUCAGCAUGGAGGACAACACUACCCAUCACACCAAGCAGAAACCCAACUUUUCUUUGGGAAUCGUCACCAUUAGUCCCUCAAGAAGGAUAUAUGUAUCAACAGCUCUGGCUGGUCCACUACCUGCUCCAAAGGCUCUAACUGUGAGUGCUUAAUAAUAACUUUUCAGUGUGUUCGCUACUUUUCUUAUAUUGUAGGCCAUCCAGGAAUACUUUCCAACUAUUACAAAUGAUAAUCAUGAAGAAUUUCUAAUAGCAUGAAAAAGUAUUUAUGAUGGUAUCAUCUUAAGAAAAAGAAUGUAAAUAAAAUUGAAUAUACAGUUUUUAUGGUGAUAAAUUAUAAACUGCACGUGUAUAAAACAUACAUGUAUAAUGUACACAUGCACACACACACACAGUAGUGAAGAGUUAUUAGAGCUGAGGAUGGAAUUACUGAUUUCAUGUUUUUUCCAUAUUUCUCUAUUAUCCAGAUAAAACUUUUUCCACAAUAACAUCUUUGUUUGGCUAAUAAUUUGAGGUGUCAUAUCCAUUGGCUUUGAGGUUAUUACAGUUUGGAACGAUCUGCUAUGAGGGCUAUUUUUGCCUUAUUAGUGGCCUUGUCACUCCCUCAAAUCUCUCCCCUUUCCCGACCUCAGCUGGAACCAAUGCAUGGAUGUAGGUAGGAGUUUAUUUCAUUAUUACCAGUCCGAGAUAAUUUUGAGGGUGAGAAGAAAAAGACCAGCUCAGAAAAACAUUAAAUAAGUAGGUUUUUCAGGCUUCUGAGAUCAAUUGGAUGUGGUGAUACUUAUCAUAGCCUCCUCUCAUCAUUGGAGAAGAGGUAAUAUGCAUUGAAGGUAAAACUGUAAUACACAUCAAAGAGGCUGUCCUUUUAAAUUCAAUAUUUCCCCAGAAAUCUGCAUAUUGUCCACCCUCUGCUAAUCCUAUGUUUUGAAAGCCCUGCAAAAGUAUCAAUUUUAAUAAUGAAAAUUAAAAUAACAUAGAGGACAAUUACCAAGGCUUAAAGAGACAGACCAUUUUCAGUUUACUGCCUGCUUACCACUGCUUUCUACUGCAUCCAUCCUCAAAUCACCGUCUGUACCCCCGUCUGCCCCCUGGUGAACCAUUGAGUCACAGAAUUCCAACGAACGAACGUAAGGACUUCCGCACCCUGAAUAACCAUACCUGAUCUCAAACAUGCUGCCUUGUGACCACAUUCACUGCAUUCUUCUCUCCGAAGUGUGUUUAUAUCACCAACCCUUUUAGCACCACGUUCAUUUUUAAGAGCAAACCAGUACCCUGAGAUAAUUGUGAGCCUCUUUUUGAAAAAUGAUUUUUUUCCCCCUGUGAUUUGAACUUAGGGCAAGAGAUUUUGUCAAAGGCAAACAGGCAUUUUUUUUUUUUCUUUCAAAAACCCAAAUUUUGAACACCUGUGAAAGGCCUUGAUUUGACACUCUGUCAUGUCCUAGGAAAAUUCUUGUUUAUUCUCUAUUUCUUCUUCAACUUCCACUACAUCUUCAAUUACUUCCUGACUAACUUAAUAUAAACAAAUAAAAAUACCGUAGAGAGCAUAGGCUCAGAAGCUGAUUUUUUGAGAGGGCUACAUUUUGCUAGAAGCAUAUUCUGUUGCUUCUAGUUCUAAUCUUUAUUUACACAACAAUUAGUCAGCUAUAGUAGGUCUUUCAUCUGAGUAAAUGAUCCACAACCCUUUCCAAAUAUGUUAAGGAGUUCAUUUCCAUCUGAAUUCUCCUGACAAAAACUAAAAUAGAUAACCUUAAUAAAGCACUAAUGAGAUCAUUAUAACUAGGUUUAUCUGUAUUUAAAGCACAGAUUUAAGAUCUUCUUUAAUGAUUAACUACUGGAAAACUUUGUCCAAUCCCUUGAGUUAUUUUUAAAUCUUCAUAUACUAUAAUUACAUUUAUUCAAUCAUAAAACUUUCCAUGCUGCUGAACACAAUUGAACUUUGAAUAAGAACAAGUAUGUUACAAAUCUUGGCUGUUUAAAAGGUUAAUCUUUAAGUAGAUUAAUGAUGCAGUGAUCUUUACCCAUUUCAAGCUUUUUUUUUUUCACCGAGGAAAAGAUACUUUACAAACUCCCUAUCUGGUCAGACUUAUGGGGAUAAUUUCUGCAGAAUAUUAAAGGACAAACACCUUGAAGUUUUCUUAUUAUAAGGUGUCUCUGAGAUCAGAUAAAUCCCAUGUGGCCAAUCACCGAACUUUUCAGUUGUAUUACAAUAAACGAAGUGCACUUUUAUCAUCAGUUUUAAAGAAGAGUGACAAUUAGUUAUAAAAUUAUAUUUCAGCUGAAAUCAAUGUGCAAAACUUCAACCCUAAAGUUACUUGGCAGAUUUAGAAAAUCAGUACAUUUUACAUGUGGUACCACAAAAUUAAACAGAUAGAAAUCCUUGAUAUUCACUUUUGUUAAAUACGAAAUAGUUAUUUCAAAACUUAACUCGCAGAUGACUAUUAUUUUAAAUUCACAACGUAGAAUUUCAGCAUUAAAUUCAGGUUCAGGGCAAGUUGGAAGGUAUCUCCAGCAAAGAGGUGAAUUUUAGAAAUGUAAAUUUCUAAUAUAAUCAAGCCUUUCAAACAUGGUUUGCCAUGGGUGCAAAAAGCCUAAGGGUAAAAUUCAAUAAUUUCUGACCCCUGAAAUCUUGGCCAAAUAAAAGGAAUGCAGAAAAUCAACACAGAAAUUUAUAAAUCAGCUAACAGGCUAACAGGACAACACUGACCCUCAUCUACACUCUAAACUAUUCCCUCUCACAAGGUACAGUUACCUCCCCAGUGAUGGCAAAAUGGCAGGAAAACUUAUAGCGUAAACCUUUGCUUUUGCGUAUUUACCAGCCAGGGCUUUAACAAGCAAUGAAGAGGACUGAGGAAGGUGCUAAGCUAUUUACAAAUUGGAAGGUCUUUUGCAUUUAUCUAGGAAUAUAUAGAUAUUGUCAAUGUGUGAUUAAAUUACUGUAUCAGUUUUCCUGGAGGAUUUCUGUGUUUACUGAUUUUUUUUUUUUUUGGUGAGACGUUUAUCCAGCUCUCUCAAUCCUGUCCUCUUUCUUGCGUGAAUUCACACAUACUAAAACGCAGGUGUUUUACUUGGCUGAUAUAUGUCAUCUGCAUUAUUUGAAACCCUGCAGCCCCCAAAUUUCUUGGUGACUGUACAAUUUGGGAACAAAAUUAUUACUAAAUAAUUUCUAGGGCUAAGACAAUGUCUAAUGAAACACACAUACAAGUUCGUGAGCUAUCUUUUCAAUUUUCCUGUUGAAUUUUAGGGGUAGAGUUGAAGAAAAUAUCUAUUUGGAAGGAAGCACAAACUAAAUUAUUGUCAUCAUAGCCUGUGAAUUAUUACUUAAUGCCCAGUUUGCUCAUAGGAGACUUUAUAAACCACCCAGUUAAGGCAAUUUUUAUCUUAAGAAGCUUAUAGUUUAAAGUGCAAUGAACUUUAAAAUAAGUAAAAUAAACAUUAGCUCAGAUACAUACAUCUAAGUACAAGUAAUUUGGAACAAUUUGAACAAAGCACAUAUACUCAUUAACAAUGAUCAUAAUAACAACAAUAAGAUAUCCAAUGAGCUCUUACUAAGUCAUGUUCUACUAGAAGCUCCACGGGGGCAAGGACUGAUCAGUGUUAGCGACCACUGUACCCCAGUGAGUGAGACUAGCAUCAAUUACCUGCUAGGUAAGUCCUUUCCUCCUGAAGUUCACAGUCUAAGGAAGAGAGACUAGAAAUUAGAAGUAGAAAUCUAUACAAUCGUAUAGCGUGAUGCACAGUCUGCAUGUGGUCAGGAGGGGGAGACUUCUAAAGUGUUUGGGGAGUGUAAGGAAAAUGCUGGGCUUGUAACUUAAUAAAUGAAAGACUGGUUCUGAUGGUAGGACUGGCUCCAUGUUUAAUGGAACAGAAUGUUUGUAGGUCCAUCAGCAAUAGAGAACUUGACAUGAUACAGAAGUGACAUAGCUUAGCAUGGGCUAGCGUGUUUGCAGGUAGCUCGGCACGGCCUAUCAUGAGCUGGGGGUAGUGGUAAGGGAUGACAACAGAUGAGGUUGGGUUGGCUGGGACAAAAUCAUGCAGAGCCCUGGGAUGCCACGAUAAGGCAAUCUGCAUCCUAGAAGUCUAUCCCUUCUAUAAAUUUUGGUUAAAAUAAUAUCUUGGCCACACACCUUCUCUGAUCCUUCCAGAGAGAAGUGAUCUCUGCCUCCAUGGAGCUCCUACAGAACUUCCUCUGAGUUGGUCUUUCUCUGAGUUGGUCUUUUCUUUUCAACAGGGGGUAGAGUGAAAAGAAUAGGGAAGUAGUAGGAUUCAGAAGGCAAAGGUUCUGUUCUCAAUUGCUGGUACUCUGUUUGUCUUACUGGUACUCUAUUGUCUUAGGACAAAUUUGUUAACCUUAUUAACUCUGGGCAACAAUACUCACAACCAUUUAUCACACAGGUUAUUGUAUGUGAAAGUGCUUUAAAAAUUUUGAAUUGUUACUUGAGUUAUUUCAAUACAUAUUGUGUUAUUUCCUAUAAGAAUGUGCAUCCCUUCAAAAGGUGUAAGAUUUAGACCGUAGGAGGGGUGGACAGUAGUCUGCCAAUUAUUUAUAAACCUAAAGUUUGAAGAUUUAUCUCAACCGUGACUUCUUCCAGAAGCCCUUUGCUUUGCCCCUCUCCUUGAUGAGUUUCUUUCUCUGGUCUCCAUCCACAGAUGUGCACAGCUCUUGUGUGGUACUUGCCACCUAUGCCUUCUAGUCUUCCUCCUCUCAGCAUCCUUUGCUGGAUCCUCCUGCUCUUCCUGAUCACAGAAUGUGGAAACUGUCUCUGGGUCUCUUCUUUCUUUAUCUGUAUGCAUUUUAUCUCAUCAGGUCUCAUGAUUUUUAAAUACCCUGAACUGUUUACAGUCAAAAUCCUCUAGUUAGGUAUUAAGCUCUUCUUUUCCCCUGAGCUUCCUAAUCCAAUAUCCAAUCAGUGACUAUACAUCUUCCCUUGCAUUUCUAAUAGACAUCUUAGAUCCAACACACUGGAAACGAACUACUGAUUUUCCUCCCCACUCCUCUGCCAUAAAGCUGUUUUUUUCCAUGGUUCUCCAUCACUUGAAGUGCCAUCAUUGCUCAUUAAGAUCCUUGACCCACACUACCUGGAGUCAUCUUUAACUUCCCUUCUUCUCAUUUCCAAAACCCAAGCCACCAGCCUGGUUUUCUUACAAAACAUAUCCUGACUGCACAUUCCCACCCUCCACUGGCUCCGUUGCUGCCUCACGAGUCUAGGUCAUGAUCAUCUUCUGCCUGAAUUCCUGCACUAGCCGCCAAAGUGAUCUCCCAGCCUCCAUUCUGUUGGUCACACAAUAGCUAUGUGACAUUUGAUUUAAAAGGAGAAAUUAGAUGGUGCAACUAUCCUAAAUAGUAGAAUAAAAACCCAAGUCUAUAGAGGGCCCACUUGAGCUCUGGUGACCCCUCUAAUCUCAUUGCCAAUCACUCUCCUCGUUCACCUUACUUCGCCCCACAGCUCCUCACUCCCAAGCAUCCCACCACCUCAGGGCCUGUGUGCUGUGCUUCCCUCUGCAGGUAAAAACAUGGCUUGUGUCCACACCUGGUUUUAGUCUUUCCUGACCACCAUAUUGUCUAAAAUUGCGAUCGUAUAUCUCCUCUAUCCCUUCUUCAGUCUUUUCUUCAGAGAACUUAUCACUAUAUCGCAUUAAGUGUCUACUUACCUAUUUAUUUAUUGCCUCGCUCCUCUAUUAGAAUGUUAAUCUCCGUGACAGCAAAAGAGUUUAGCUGCCUUGUUCAGUCUUGUAUUGCUGAGCAGCUGAAAAUAGCAACUCAAUUUUUUAAUACUUAUAAAAUAGUCAAUUAAUAAAUGUUCAAUAAAACAUAAUUAUAAAUAUAUAUGAAUAACUGAUUUCAAGUAAUGGACCAGUUUAGCAUUUGGGUGCAUUCUGAUCAAGGUCAUGCUCAAAUGUCUACUGGUCCACCGAUCUUUUCUUCAUAAUUUAACUGAACAGUCAUGGGUAAUAGCUCUUCCAGGUUUCCUUGGUAAGGCACUUUCUUCAACAUGUUUUCUUUGGCAGUGCUGAUCUAUGUAUUUAGUUUGCAAUUGUCCAGUUCACUUUAUGUAGCUAACUCUGACUAAUGUGCCAUUUAAGGGCUUACUGUCAUUCAUCUCAUGACUCAGCCUGUUCCAGGAAAUGCAAAGAUCAAAAAAAUAUUAACUUCUCUUUGAUUGUAGUUUAACAUUUUUCCAUAUUCAAAGAUGUAUUCCCCUCUGACUUGAACAAUAUCUAAUGUCAAGGAAAGCUUGCCUACUCAGGGACUUCAAAGCCAGAAGAAAUGUGCCAGGUUACAACAGAGGUUCCCAUUUUCAAAAGUGACAGGUACCAUCUGACUGCCCUGUUAGUGCAUUACAGCUUAGGGCAGGGCAGCCAAAAACUCCAGAAGGAGAGUGGAUAGGGAAAGAGAUGUACAAUUGUUGUUGAUAAUAUACUAGCAUAUGACGAAACUGCAUUAGUUAAAUACUCCUCAAUGUUCUUAAUUCAAUGUCUAGAUUUAGAAAGUCUCAGACCAGUGCUUCAAUUAUCCUGAAUUACCUGGUGGUAUUACUACCCCCAAGCAGACUUCCUGCCAUUGCUACUCUCUAAAUAAAAGUUUCAAAACUUGUGUGGAGAAAAGGAGGACAAGCAGCAAGCUAAUUUGAUGUGCAUAAUUGGAAAAAAAGAAACAGUUUCUUGUCAUUUGGCAAUGAUGCGAAAAGCUAAAGAAAUCUAAAAUCCUGAAUUCUGUGCAGAAUAUAAUUUAUCUUCCUUGCACAAUGAAAUUUACUAGUACCAUAUCAAUUUUAAUUAUGUGUGCAUAUGUACACACAGACACUAAGCCACACACACCCACACACACACAGACUCUUACUAAGAUAAAGGUAUUUCAUAAAGUUUUUUCCUAUAGAUCUUGGUAGACACUGAACUUGAGCUAAUGAAUGGCAAGAAUUUACCAUUAAAAUAUAAUGUGACAUGUUGACUCUCUAAGAUAUCAAGGUUCUUAUACUGAAUUUUUCAAAGAAUUGUUUUUAAGGCCACACUCAUGGCACAUGAAAAUUCCUGGGCUGGGGAUUGAAUCUAAGCUGCAAUAGUGACCUACAAUGCAGCUGUAGGAAGCCAGAUCUUUUAAUCCACUGCACCAGGCCAGGGAUCAAACCCAUGCCUCUGCAGUGACUUGAGCUGCUACAGUCAGAUUCUUAACCCAGUACACCACAGCAGAAACUCCAAAGGGUUGUUUUUUAAUUAUAUAAAAUGUAACACGUAAUUUGAUGAAACACUGCAGAUUCACAUGAAACGGUGAUUCAGGAACGAUUCAUUCCUUCCUGAAAACCCCUCCUAAAUGAUAGUGAGUCAGUAUUAAAAGAAAAUAAGCACAGAGGCAUGAAGACAAAAGGGAAAAGGAAGGCAUCUUCUGCAGAUGAGAAAUUUUGGAAGAUGGAAGGUGAGCUGACAAGCAGUUGGUGACUGAGUAGAAACUUAGGAGGAUUCCUGGGAUGGAACUCCCAGAAACUCUAGGGGCUGCGGAACACAGUAGUGUGGUGGAGUGAGGCUCACAAGGGACUGAAAAUGGGAGCAUCCUUUGAAGAUUGAUAUGUAGAGUUGAUGGGAUCCCAGGCUCCCUCUUGCAUUCUUUGCAGUCAGGUUUCUCGUAGUCCAUUAGGGACCAGAGAUGUAUAUUUAUGGAGGAAGUGCACCAGAGGUACACCAGUUAGCGAAACUAGUGGAAGCACUAGUUGUGAUUGAGAUGAGGAUGAAAGGCAGGGAAAUGAAAUGAGGGUUUGUAUAUUGAACACCGAGAGGACCAGUCAUUCUCCCUUCCUUUUCUAUCAGAAGACAUGUGCUUCCAUGAUAGGAGACUUGGGGGUUCUUCCCCCCCUCCCUUUUUUUUUUGCUUUUUAGGGCCACACCUGGCUAGGGGUCGAAUUGGAGCUAUAGCUGCCAGCCUAGACCACAGCCACAGCAAGAUGGGAUCUGAGCCACAUCUGUGACCCCCUCCACAGCUCACAGCAACACCAGAUCCCCAACCCACUGAGCGAGGCCAAGAAUGGAACCUGCAUCCUCAUGGACACUAGCCAGAUUCAUUUCCACUGCGCCACAAUGGGAACUCCUGAGGGUUCUACUCUUAAGAAACUACUUAUUCCUAGAGAAAAGACCUCAAAAGACCUUACAUUGGUGAGCCCCUGUAAAAAGGACAGCUUACUGUACAAUCAUCUACAUUUAGACUCAAUAGCUGAUCAACUUCACUCAGAAACUCAGAGCUUCCAAUCAACUUUCAGUGUCUCAAGCUUAAAACUGAAUCAAGAAAAAGAGCCCUGGAUCCCUAGACAUCUCAGGAAGUCUCCCACAUGAGCUAGAUAAACCAAAACAAAAAAUCAAAAUAAAUGAAUUAAUAAGAAGGGGGGAAAUAGAAACAAAUAAGAACUGAAGAAAAAGUAAAAGAAAAAAACAGAAACAAUAUUCUUAGAAAGAGUAACAUGAAAGCAUUGCAUCAAAAGAUCAAUAAAAAAGAAACUAUUGCAAAGCAAGAAAGAAUUUUAAGAAAAUUAAAAUACAACUACCAAUACAAUAAUAGGUUAAGGGAUUGAAAUGAUAUAAAAAUACCUCCCAAAACACAGAAUAAUAAAUCUCCAAAAGAGAGAGCAAUAAGAUUCAAAUAUGAGAUAACCUAUUUUUAAAAAUUAGAACUAAAAGAAAACACUGAAGAAAAUUAAGAACCAUUCUUUCUCAGGAAGUAUUUAAGCAAAGAUCCAGAAAAAUAUAUUCAGUAAAUAUACUAGGAAUGAGGAAUGUAUGGGAUCCAGAAAUAGAGAAUACAGCACACGUGCUAAGUUAAGGGCCAUUCCUAAAUGAGGUCAGGUACACAUGAAGGACACAGGUUUUAUUUUUAUUUUUCGAAAAUAUUUACCAAAUUUCAAUUCCAUAAAUAGAGUGUCAAAAUAUCUACUUCACCACCACCUUUAAAAUAUUUCACCAAUUUGAUACCUAAAAAUAGCUCACUGCUGCUUUACUUUGCAUAUCCUGUAAACUUAAUUUUAAAAGUAUUUUUUUUCUUGUGCUAUUAUCUAUUUUCCAUUUUUUGCUCAAAGAACUUUAAAACUCUACCUCUGGUUCAAGCCAGACCAGCAAAGAGCUGCUUUUAUUAACUUAUACCUUGAUAUUAUGCUAUAAACUCAGGGACGUCAUUAGAAAGUCAACUUACUGGUAAAAGCAUGCUGUUUCUUAGUCUUUUUCUUGAGGUAUUUUAUUGAGCUAUUAUAUUACAUGGCAUUCGCUUAAUGACAAGGCAUAAAUCUUGGUUCUGAAGGAACUGUUAUUAUCCUACAAACACUUUAACAUUCAUAUUUUAAUUUUGUUCAUGAUUUUUAAAAAAAUAUACAGGAGUUCCCGUCGUGGCGCAGUGGUUAACGAAUCCGACUAGGAACCAUGAGGUUGCGGGUUCGGUCCCUGCCCUUGCUCAGUGGGUUAAGGAUCCGGUGUUGCUGUGAGCUGUGGUGUAGGUUGCAGAUGCGGCUCGGAUCCCGCGUUGCUGUGGCUCUGGCGUGGGCCGGUGGCUACAGCUCCGAUUCAACCCCUAGCCUGGGAACCUCCAUAUGCCGCGGGAGCGGCCCAAGAAAUAGCAGCAGCAACAACAACAACAA